rnacentral:lncRNA from 1 species
UGUAUACUAUAGUGAUUGUUUUGAUGUGGUGCUCGAUCAUGCUAUAUAUGUGCAUAUGUCAGUGGAAACUUGACAUUUUAAGCUCAAUUAAAUGUCUUUGCUCAUAAAAUAUGCAAAUUAUAGAUGACUUUUCUUCCCUAUUUUUUAACAUUUGUACUUUACAAUCUAACAUUUGAAAGGAAUCUUUCAAUCAACUUUUCAAUCAAAAAUCUAGUCCCUCUAAAAAUUUGUAAAGACUAGCCAUGUCUCAACAACAUUGACUAUUAAUUGUCACCAAUCAGCCAAUUAUACUGGCUCCUUAUUGUUAUACCACAUUGUAUACAUGCUAAUCAUCUACAGAUUCACAGCAUUGAGUAGUAUUUAGUCUGUGUUUCUCCUAGGAAAGUCUUAGCAUAUGAACCGUAUUGAGUUUAAAAGGGUGGUUAGUGGGUGAAUGCACAAAAGCUCCAAUGCUUUAUCCACAUGCAUUUUUUCUUUCUUAUGCAUCAGACGAUAAAAACUCUAGAUCUAUGAAUCAAUUAUAAAGAUCUUACAUUUUUAUAGCCUAGAUAUUGUUUUCGCACAAACACAUUAGCAGAGUGUUUUGCCAUUCAAUUCGAAUAAGUAGAUACUGCCGUGAUGUAGAAGAGCAAUGCACUAGGGCCAGUUAAGUUAUUAAUUGACAUACAGAAAAUCUUAGAGGAAAUAAAUUUUAUUUGGCUAAUCAUCUUAUUAAAUGAGAUUCCGGAAUAGAAACAACAAAAAAUAACCAAAAGAGGAGACUUGUGAUACCUGUACGAGGGAUCUAAAUCAUUGCAUUAACUAUCAUAAAAGUGAAAACAUGAACCAUACAUUGAAGCUGUGGUAAAGGUUAUAGAUCAAAAGUUAUGGAAAACAGCAGCAACCUUAGAGGACAAUUAUACCUUUCUCGGUCUUUUGGCUAAGAUCAAGUGAAUCUUGGAGGCCAAUUUGGUUUUAGGCCAGGAUAGUCAACAAU